UUACCCGCUGAAUUUAAGCAUAUAAGUAAGCGGAGGACAAGAAACUAAACAGGAUCCCCAUAGUAAUGGCGAAUGAACCGGGAUAAACUCAGCAUGGAAAUUGGGGCCUUUGGCUUUGACUUGUAAUCUGGUGAGGCAUUGCCAACAGAGGCGCAUAUGUAAGUCUCUUGGAAAAGAGCAUCAACGAAGGUGAGAGUCCUGAUUGUCAUGUGCAGCCCCCCUGUGCACGGUGUGCCUUCUAAGAGUCACGUUCCUUGGGAUUGGAGCGCAAAUUGGGUGGUAACUUUCAUCUGAAGUUAAACAAUGGUUUGGGACCGAUAGGAAACAAGUACCAUGAGGGAAAGGUGAAAAGGACUUUGGAAAGAGAGUUAAAAGUGCCUGAAAUUGCUGAAGGGGAAGCGAAUGGAACCAGUGGUGCUGGGUGAGAUUGUCACAUGCUGCAAGGAUUGGUUGCUGCCACAACGCAAGUGUGCUGGCAAUUUGUGAACUGCUAGUGUGUGGUGUGUCUUACCUAGUGGGUCAUUGUGGGUUUAUGCAUUAAGAUAAAUCAAAGCAAGCGGGAGCAAGUUUACGAGUUUGUGAAUGUGUGUUGUUAUGCUUGUGCGUAAGCUUUAGUGUUUGUCUGGCUGCAGGGCUGUCCAUCCUCAAGCUUUGCUGUGGUUGCGAUGAGCAUAACCUUCUGCACAGAUCUUGACGAAAUGGUUUCAUUCGACCCGUCUUGAAACACGGAC
rnacentral:rRNA from 1 species